GAGCCAAAGGGCAUCGGAGGCCAGCCCGCCCCGUCGCUACUAGAGGUCGAAUUCUUCCGCUGCUCAUUCUCUCGGGCGGAGCCUUCCGUGAACCCAGCUACGUUUGUCCGUGCUACCGUCUCUCUUCUGGGUUUCAAUAAAGUUUUCCUCUUCCUCCCCUGGUACGGAGCUCAAGAUGGCGGCCUCAUGGUCACCCUUGGUUACCCUGCGCUUAACGCAGAGCCGGCUGAGAGGGAGAUGUGUUGGGUGCAGGGCUUGGGCCGCUGCUCUCACCCCUUCGGCCAUCGCCCCUGGAAACCCUCUUUGUAAAGCCUAUUCAGUUCAGCCCCCUGAGAGUAUGUCUCCAACUGCCGCUACAGAGGCUUAUUCAAAAGCUUUAGCUGUUUGCCAUGGACCAUUGGACCACUAUGACUUUCUGAUCAAAGCUCGUGAGCUAAAAGAUGAUGAACAUCAAAGAAGAGUCAUACAGUGUCUGCAGAAACUGCAUGAGGACCUUAAAGGAUACAGGAUAGAGGAAGAAGGCCUUUUUUCUAAGCUUUUUUCAAGGAGCAAACCUCCAAGGGGCCUGUAUGUUUAUGGAGAUGUGGGUACAGGGAAAACAAUGGUGAUGGACAUGUUUUAUGCUUACGUGGAAAUGAAGAGGAAAAAACGUGUUCAUUUUCAUGGUUUCAUGCUAGAUGUUCACCAAAGAAUACACCGCCUUAAACAGAGUUUGCCAAAGAGGAAACCAGGAUUCAUGGCUAAAUCAUAUGAUCCAAUAGCUCCUAUAGCUGAAGAAAUUAGUGAAGAAGCAUGUCUCUUAUGUUUUGAUGAAUUUCAGGUCACUGACAUUGCUGAUGCCAUGAUUCUGAAACAGCUUUUUGAAAAUCUGUUCAAAAACGGGGUCGUCGUUGUGGCAACAUCCAACAGGCCACCGGAAGAUCUCUAUAAAAAUGGACUCCAAAGAGCUAAUUUUGUCCCAUUCAUAGCUGUCCUGAAGGAAUACUGUAAUACGGUCCAGCUAGAUUCUGGGAUAGAUUAUCGGAAAAGGGAACUUCCUGCUGCAGGAAAACUCUACUACCUCACAAGUGAAGCUGAUGUGGAGGCUGUCAUGGAUAAGUUGUUUGAUGAGCUGGCUCAGAAACAAAAUGAUUUAACUAGACCAAGGAUUCUAAAAGUGCAAGGCAGAGAGCUGCGGCUGAAUAAAGCUUGUGGAACCGUUGCCGACUGCACAUUUGAAGAGCUGUGUGAGAGAAUUGCGCAGCCCCACCUAAAUGCAAGAGAGGCUGGGAAAUGUGAUCUAGCUGUGCACUCAGGAAAACGAAGAAAACAUAGAUAUGGCCACUUGGAGCCAGUGACUAUUUGGAACUGUCAAGGAAUUUUGAUACAGUAUUUUUACGAAACAUUCCACAAUUUACCCUGGCAAAGAGGACCCAAGCUAGGAGAUUCAUAACUCUCAUCGAUAACUUUUAUGAUUUCAAGGUGCGCAUAAUUUGCUCUGCAUCAGCUCCUAUAUCAAGCUUAUUUUUGUAUGAUCAUCAUGACAGUGAGUUGGAGCAAAGCAGAAUACUGAUGGAUGAUUUGGGGCUGAGCCAGGACUCAGCAGAAGGACUAGCCAUGUUUACUGGAGAAGAGGAAAUCUUUGCAUUUCAGCGCACAAUUUCCCGACUCACAGAAAUGCAGACUGAACAGUACUGGAAUGAAGGAGACAGAAGCAAGAAGUAACCGUCCCUUUUGCGUGAAUAAAACUCUGGGCAAAUGAUUACUGCAGGAAGAACUCUUUAUUAUGGGACUGGAAGGAAUCAUUUUCUCAUCAUUAAUUAUGCACUUUGUCCUCUGGACCAUUUUUAUCUAAAAUUGCUGUCAAAGAUAUAGUGGUUUAGUAAGUUAAAGCCACUUUUAGGUUUACUUUUUGCCUGUUUAUUUGGCCUUAUUUCUACACCACACAAUUAAAAUCAGCACUCUUAUCAAGCUGAAUGUAGGACCAGGCAUUUUGGUUUCAUAUUAAGCUACCUGAAUGAACCUUGAAUACAUACACACUCUGUAAACGCAGGGUGUCUGGACAUCUGUGACCUUUUGGCUACCUGGUAGCUGCAUGAUAGAAACACAUCUUUAUGAGAGUGGAGGAAAAAAACCUUACAUUUCAGUUCAAAACAAAAAGAGACUUCUGAUGGACUUAUCUCUGUGAUUGUUGGGGGCUGUAAAUUACUUUAAAUCUCCCAAGUCUUUAGGCUUCCUUACAGCAGAGAGUAUGUUUUUUACCCUGAGUUCAAGCUUUGCAGGCAGGACCUGAUCUCCAGUGGACACACAACUGACUGAAAAAAAUGAAGGAUUAUGAAACCAUAGAAUAAGAAACGGGUGUCAAAUUUCAACCGACAAACAGAUUCCCCCAACUCUGACAGCCCGGAAGACAAAUACCAGGAAUGGGGACCGGUGAGAGAGUGUCGGGAGGGGUGGUGUCCUGGACCACACUAAGCAGCAGAAUGGACUCUGCUCACUUGAGGCCAUAAGACCCCGUGGACCGCAGCUCCUUCCCGCUGCUCACGUGUGUUUGCUCUGCUCGCAGAUGUCACUCCCACCCUUGCCGCUGCUUCUGCAGUGCGACGGGCCUAACAGUAAAUGGGAGAGAAUGGCCGCUUGACGAGUCUGUUUAAAUGAAAUCUGAUUUGCCCUCCAUGGAAGUCAUUCCUUGGCUCAUUCAAAUACAGCCUGACUUUGCUAACUGUCGCUCACAGAAGGAAACUUGGUGGAGGUUGUUACAAGAGUCUAAAUCCUUAUUCAAGAAAAAAAAGAGAAAAAGAAUUGAAAUCCACAAAUCUUGUGAAAAUUAAAUAUUUGGGGAGAGUAGGCACAGGUGAGUCAGUUUAAAUAAAUGAUUACGAUUAUCAACAUAAAUAAACUCUUGAAACUAUGUCAUUUAUAAGUUAAUAAUCUACCCAUACUAGUCUAUUUUGGACCUUAACCUAAGUCAAUCGGAUGGAUAGGUAGGGUACCCAAGAAUAGUGAAACAUUUAAAUCAAAACUUCUGAAAAUUAAAUGCGAUUUGAAAAUAUUUUUAUUGAAGUGAAACAGUGAGUUCAAAAAGAUGUUAAACAGGUUACAAGGGAGAAAGGACAGGAAAUAACCACUGUGCCAGAUUUAUUGCUAGAAAUUUCUAAAUCUUGCAUAAAAAUAUAAUCCUCAAGAGACAAUGUAACCAUCCCUGUUUAUAGACAAGAAAACUGAGGCUCAGAAAAGCAGCUUGACUGGAGAUUCAUAGUUUACAACUACAAAACUCACGUACUAUGUUUUUUACCAUACCACCUCUAUAAAAGCAAGAUCAUUUUUAAGAGUAAUUCUUUUUGUUUAAUAAAUUUACAACAGAACCGUUACUUUGUACUCACUAAGUAUAAAAUAUUUAAUUUUAGUCUUUCAAUCUAAGCUUUUUGUUUUCAGUUUGUUUUUUUUUUUUUUUUUGGCCAGAUAUGUUAUCCUUUAAUAAAAUGACAGUGUGAAUGCUAGACAGACUGACUGGUGGACAGUCUGCUUGAUAGAAAGAGGAGCUGUCCUUGAGUGUGUGGGUAUAUGUGAGUAGUCCCCCACUCAAGUUCUGUUGUACAAGUUCAUCUGAGGUCAGGUAUUUGAAACGAGAAUUUGAUUUUUCCAUAGAAACAAUAAUGUGAUGUUAGGGGCCUAGCUAAAUGUACAGAAGCUUAUGGAGUUCUCGGUGCAAAUGCCUUAUAAUUUUGGUACUAAAGAACUUAAACUCCUUUUAAAAUACAGUUGCUACAAGGUAAAACUAUAGUUCAGGUUCCACCUGAGUACCCAGAUCAUGUCUGCACUUGGUGGGACAGGCCUUGGUGGAAGGGGCUUGCUGAGAGUGGGGUCUGUGGGGAUGGGAUGAGGAGACAGUGUAAGGGUCUGUUAUAUCGGCCUAAGUACCAGAAGGAAAGAGGAGGGAUUAUCAGGAGGUAGCUGGAAAUGGUACAAUGUCAUUCCAUCUCCUCUCCACAAAUUGUUUCAUAAAAGAGCCUACAAGAAAAAGAAGCAAAAGCCUUCAGGAAAACCUGUUACCUUGAAACAAUAUGGUAGUUCUACUAAAAAGGAAAUUAAUGCCAAAAUGAGAGGAAAAUGACUCUAGAUCAGAAAGCAAUAUUUCAAUAUAUGUGUUGCUUCUUCCAAGCCCUGCCCCAGUUGCCGUCUCAGCAUUCCAGUCUCUCUCCCUGGGAUCAUGUGAAAUUUCUCAGAGCAGAUGCUCUGUCUCUCUUUUUGAACUGCUUUUAAUUUGUAUUUGAAGAUGACGUUUGAACUGACUGUUGCUGUGUUACACUCCCGUUCACUUAAGAGGUGACCAAGGGUCAUGCUGAGGGUUUUUAUUGUUGGGAAAAUGCCUCCAAAAUGACCACUAAUUUCCAAAUUUAGAAGAAAUCAAGUAGAGAAAAAGAAAAAUAUUUUAAAAAGAGAGAAACAUCUGAUUACUGCGUUAUUCUUGUAUUUCUUUAGACCAUGGAUAGGCUUAUCUGUUAACAUCAGUAAUAAUGACGUGGUAGACUUAAAGAAUUUUUAACCUAUUUCUGAUGUUUACAAGGCUCCAAAGACUAGUACUGUUCUAAUCAAAUUUAUGUAUUUUCAGUGGGAUUUCAAGUUUUAGUCAUAAAGCAUUAUUUUAUGCCCUCUGAAUAUAUUUCCUAUACCUUUAGGUGUGCAAAUAACAUAAUUUAAAAAUUACUUGGAACUUGGAAAAUUAAAAUUUUAUUUGUAAAAUAUGUAAAUAGACAUAUUCAUAUCCAUUUAUUUAUUUAGCAUUAUUUAAGAAACACAUUGUGCUUGCUAUGUGCCAGGCAUGGUUCUAAGUGCUUUGCAUAUAAACUAUUUUGACCCUUAUAAUAAUUCUGUGAGAUAGGUACUGUUAGACCACUUGUAGACAGUGAAGCUGAGGUAGAGAAAAUGGGUCCAACAGUAUACUGAACUGCUAAGAUGUACAUUGGAGUCAGUAAAGCGAUCAAAACACUGACUUAAUAAACUCUCAUGUAACUGCUUCUGUCCUGAAAACAUUCUUCUUACUCCAAGUAGCUUGAGCCUACAGUUGCAGCCCCUUCAUCUGGGAUCAAAACACCCUGAGGAAUUGGGGUCCUGGGUCCUGACAUUUGGUCCUGAUAGAUUAUGAAAUUCUGGUAGUAAAUCUGUGAUCUUGUAUAUAACCUUCCUCAGAUCCACUAGCCUCGUAAGACAUCACUGGCUGGUAGAAAAUUAUUUUCUUUGGAGGUGGGUCUGUUAAAUUCUUCUUUAAGGCAGAUUCUUCUUUCUCAUUGGCACAGCAGUUCAUUUUCCUGGAACAGAAAGUUUUAAGUAAUACAGCCUGUCUUCUUCUCGAGCCUCUGCUGCCUCUACCUUACUCUGCACUAGAAGUUUCACAUCUGUCACCCCAGCUCCUCGCUGAACCCAAUCAAACAUAUCAUCUGCUGACCUGUGUGCUGUGUGUGACAGUGUGAAACUCCAGAAGGACAUCUGUCCGUCCGUCUUCCAAGCCCGCUCAGGAAGGCUGCAGAGGUUGUCUGAGAAGCUUCCUUUCUCAGGGCUGUAUCCAUUGAGAGCUGGUGUCUCUGAUGCACCUCUCUCUUUAUCCAAGUAGGUGGGAAGGGCCCUGAACCUGGUUCUGUCAGCUUUUGCUUUGUAACCUUGAACUAGUGCUUUGAGCCUUGGUUUUCUUAUCUAUAAAUGACAACGAUAAUAGCCAUUUCAUAAACUAUCCUCAUAUUCUGAGGAUAGUUGGUAAAAAGCACUUUGCAAAUGGUAAAAGAUUAAAGGAAUAUUAGUUGUUAUUGAUUGUAAUGAUUUUGAUCAGAAAGCAACAAUAAAUGCCUACUCUGCUUUGUAA